CCUACGGGAGGCAGCAGUGGGGAAUAUUGCACAAUGGGGGAAACCCUGAUGCAGCGACGCCGCGUGAGUGAAGAAGUAUUUCGGUAUGUAAAGCUCUAUCAGCAGGGAAGAAAAUGACGGUACCUGACUAAGAAGCCCCGGCUAACUACGUGCCAGCAGCCGCGGUAAUACGUAGGGGGCAAGCGUUAUCCGGAUUUACUGGGUGUAAAGGGAGCGUAGACGGCCAGACAAGUCAGAAGUGAAAGUCCAGGGCUCAACCCUGGGACUGCUUUUGAAACUGCCGGGCUGGAGUGAAGGAGAGGUAAGCGGAAUUCCUGGUGUAGCGGUGAAAUGCGUAGAUAUUAGGAGGAACACCAGUGGCGAAGGCGGCUUACUGGACUGUAACUGACGUUGAGGCUCGAAAGCGUGGGGAGCAAACAGGAUUAGAUCCCCAGUAGUC
rnacentral:rRNA from 1 species